UGUCUAUAUAGCUUAUUAAAGUGAUACUCUGAAGAGGUAAAGAUGAUUAUGAUCUGUGGACAU
rnacentral:tRNA from 1 species